rnacentral:RNase_P_RNA from 1 species
AAGGAAAGUCUAUAAUAUAAUAAAUUUUGUAUAAUAUUUAAAUGUAAGUUAAGGUUUUUAAUAGAGAAUAUAAAUAAGUUAAUAAUUAUUGUUAUGCCCCUAGCUAUUUGCCUAGGGCUUCUUUUUCACUUUUUGGUUCUGCAAUACUGUUUAUAUAUAUACUGCGCUUUUUCUAGAAGUUAUUGUGAAGAGUGGUAAAUAAAAUGAAAUAACUUAUUUUGGAAAAUCAAGCUCAUCUAAAGUCUUUUUUUAGUAAGAAAUUAUUACAAGAUAUAGCUUAA